rnacentral:lncRNA from 1 species
GAGAGUAAACUCAUUUUGAAGCAACAAUCGACAAGAAAUAAAUCAACAGCCCUUUCAUUCUCUACUCCAAAAUUAUUUGACAUUUUCCAAAUGGACCAAUUCACAGACAACAAUAUUCGCCGCCAUUAAGGCCACACCAUUUUAUUGUGGAGAGCAGCAGCAGUACUCGCCAUUGCCGCCCUUGCCCGGUGGAGGAUGCCCACAUCGCGCGUCAUGAUCAGGGUACCCCUUCACCUUGCAAAUUUGGUUGCACGCCUGAAUGUCGCAUGGCUUCCCUUCUUGCGAGGGGAAACAAAGGCUAUCUGCACAGUAAUAGCAGCAACAACAAUAAUAAUAAGCAAUAAAAUGAUGUGAACAAAUACUUUCACAGGGCCAAAAAUUUGCCAAAGAUGACCCAAGUAAAAAGAAGUAGAAGAAAGACACAAGUAAAACCUAUUUCGCCCUGCGCGAGAUAGGGUGAUGAUAAGAGCACGGCCAUUGCUAGGAUGGCUGUCAGGAAUAUAGCGAUGUUAUUGUUAUUUUGGAGAAGCGCCAUGAGAUGAGCGAUGGUGUGUUUCUUGUCGGUACUGUGGCUUGUGUUUAGGGCUGGAAUGCUACGCUUAUGUGACCAUGCCUAUUUCUAUAUAUAAUAAUAGCGAAGGCAUAUUCUUUGGCCGUAUCAAAUCAAUAAUUAAUGACCAUAUCUUACCGGAUCAUAGGAUGCUAGCUGUCUACAAAACAUUUAUCUCAGUAUUAUAUCUCGUCCUGCUAAUAAUUAGUGCCUAAGAUACGAUAACUCGGUAGCUGCAUUAGGGGAUCAUCCUGGGACGCGCGAGGCCUGGAAAAAUAGAAUUUCUAAACAUCUAUCUAUUGAUUCUGUUUUCUAUUUUUCAUCCAGUUUUCUAUGGCUGGGAUUGUUUGAAGAUUUGUGCUAUUUUGUGUUGUCU